UGGGGAAUUUUGGACAAUGGGGGCAACCCUGAUCCAGCCAUGCCGCGUGAGUGAAGAAGGCCUUCGGGUUGUAAAGCUCUUUCGGCGGGGACGAAACGGUCCGUGACAACACCACGGACUAAUGACAGUACUCGCAGAAGAAGCACCGGCUAACUACGUGCCAGCAGCCGCGGUAAUACGUAGGGUGCAGGCGUUAAUCGGAAUUACUGGGCGUAAAGCGUGCGCAGGCGGCUCCUUAAGUCAGAUGUGAAAUCCCCGGGCUUAACCUGGGAACUGCGUUUGAAACUGAGGGGCUAGAGUGCGGAAGAGGGGGGUGGAAUUCCAGGUGUAGCGGUGAAAUGCGUAGAUAUCAAGAGGAACACCUGAGGUGAAGACGGGUUGCUGGGCUGACACUGACGCUGAGGCGCGAAAGCCAGGGGAGCAAACGGGAUUAGAUACCCCUGUAGUCCCUGAGCGGGCUGGCAAGGCGCAU
rnacentral:rRNA from 1 species